GGAGAUAUAGCCCAGUGGUAGAGAGUGUGUGCUCAGCAUGCAUGAGGUCCUGGGUUCAAUUCCCAGUACCUCCA
rnacentral:tRNA from 1 species